rnacentral:rRNA from 1 species
AGCGAACGCUGGCGGCAGGCCUAACACAUGCAGGUCGAGCGCCCCGCAAGGGGAGCGGCAGACGGGAGAGUAACACGUGGGAACAUGCCCUUCAGUACGGAACAACCAAGGGAAACUUUGGCUAAUACCGUAUACGCCCGUAAGGGGAAAGAUUUAUCGCUGAAGGAUUGGCCCGCGUCUGAUUAGCUAGUUGGUGGGGUAAUGGCCCACCAAGGCGACGAUCAGUAGCUGGUCUGAGAGGAUGAUCAGCCUCACUGGGACUGAGACACGGCCCAGACUCCUACGGGAGGCAGCAGUGGGGAAUAUUGGACAAUGGGCGCAAGCCUGAUCCAGCCAUGCCGCGUGAGUGAUGAAGGCCUUAGGGUUGUAAAGCUCUUUCGUCAGGGAAGAUAAUGGCGGUACCUGAAGAAGAAGCCCCGGCUAACUUCGUGCCAGCAGCCGCGGUAA